rnacentral:misc_RNA from 1 species
GGAGCACCAACUUCCUCACCACGGCUUGGUUCUUGGAACAGUACCUGAAGGCGUCCAAGGCAGGGUCCUACGAACUGGACGAUGCCUCCUUUCACCUGGCUGACCUCGCAGACUUGGAUGUACAACCUGCUGUGCCCACCGACAUUUUUCUUGAGGAGGUAGAACUCACCAUGUCACAACCUGAGGAGAAUAGCUUUGACUAUUACGCGGAGGCACGAGACCCAUGUCCCCUCCAUGGUCAUCGGUUGCAGCUUUUGGGUCUGUCUCAUUUUAUUUCAUUGUAGUUGCAGACUUAAUUAUUGUCAGGUAUCUGUGUGUUUGUUCGUUUGCAGUAGACCUAACUGCCGCCAUUUCCUUUCCGUGAGUUAGUUUUUGUCAGA